rnacentral:rRNA from 1 species
CCUACGGGAGGCAGCAGUGGGGAAUUUUGGACAAUGGGCGCAAGCCUGAUCCAGCCAUUCCGCGUGAGUGAAGAAGGCCUUCGGGUUGUAAAGCUCUUUCGCGAGGGAAGAAAACUUACCAUCGAAUAAAUGGUGAGGCUGACGGUACCUUGAUAAGAAGCACCGGCUAACUACGUGCCAGCAGCCGCGGUAAUACGUAGGGUGCGAGCGUUAAUCGGAAUUACUGGGCGUAAAGCGUGCGCAGGCGGUUUUGUAAGUCAGAUGUGAAAUCCCCGAGCUCAACUUGGGAACUGCGUUUGAAACUACAAGACUAGAAUAUGUCAGAGGGGGGUAGAAUUCCACGUGUAGCAGUGAAAUGCGUAGAGAUGUGGAGGAAUACCAAUGGCGAAGGCAGCCCCCUGGGAUAAUAUUGACGCUCAUGCACGAAAGCGUGGGGAGCAAACAGGAUUAGAUACCCUGGUAGUCCACGCCCUAAACGAUGUCUACUAGUUGUUGGUGGAGUAAAAUCCAUGAGUAACGCAGCUAACGCGUGAAGUAGACCGCCUGGGGAGUACGGUCGCAAGNUUAAAACUUAAAGGAAUUGACGNGNGNGAGAGCGACGACGACGACGAGGAGGAGG